rnacentral:rRNA from 1 species
GCCAUGCGAGUUGAGAGGGUUCGGCCCUCGGCAGACUGCUCAGUAACACGUGGAUAACCUAACCUUAGGAGGAGGAUAAUCUCGGGAAACUGAGAAUAAUACUCCAUAGAUCUAGGAUACUGGAAUGUACCUAGGUUGAAAGCUCCGGCGCCUAAGGAUGGGUCUGCGGACUAUCAGGUUGUAGUCAGGGUAAUGACCUGACUAGCCUACGACGGAUAUGGGUUGUGAGAGCAAUAGCCCAGAGACGAUAUCUGAGACACGAUAUCGGGCCCUACGGGGCGCAGCAGGCGCGAAAUCUUCACAAUGUGCGAAAGCACGAUGAGGGAAUCCCAAGUGCUGGCACGUAAGUGUCAGCUGUUUCUUAGUCUAAAAAACUUAGAGAGUAAGGGCUGGGUAAGACGGGUGCCAGCCGCCGCGGUAAUACCUGCAGCUCGAGUGGUGGCCGCUAUUAUUGGGCCUAAAACGUCCGUAGCCUGUUUAGUAAAUGCUUGGGUAAAUUGUGUAGCUUAACUAUACGAAUACCGAGUAGACUGCUAGGCUUGGGACCGGGAGAGGCUAGAGGUACUCCUGGGGUAGAGGUGAAAUUCUGUAAUCCUAGGGGGACCACCAGUGGCGAAGGCGUCUAGCUAGAACGGGUCUGACGGUGAGGGACGAAGCCCUGGGGCGCAAACCGGAUUAGAUACCCGGGUAGUCCAGGGUGUAAACGCUGCUUGCUUGAUGUUAGUCGGGCUCCGAGCCCGAUUAGUGUCGGAGAGAAGUUGUUAAGCAAGCUGCCUGGGAAGUACGAUCGCAAGAUUGAAACUUAA